AUUGAACGCUGGCGGCAGGCCUAACACAUGCAAGUCGAGCGGAUGAGUGGAGCUUGCUCCAUGAUUCAGCGGCGGACGGGUGAGUAAUGCCUAGGAAUCUGCCUGGUAGUGGGGGGCAACGUUUCGAAAGGAACGCUAAUACCGCAUACGUCCUACGGGAGAAAGUGGGGGAUCUUCGGACCUCACGCUAUCAGAUGACCCUAGGUUGGAUUAGCUAGUUGGUGAGGUAAAGGCUCACCAAGGCGACGAUCCGUAACUGGUCUGAGAGGAUGAUCAGUCACACUGGAACUGAGACACGGUCCAGACUCCUACGGGAGGCAGCAGUGGGGAAUAUUGGACAAUGGGCGAAAGCCUGAUCCAGCCAUGCCGCGUGUGUGAAGAAGGUCUUCGGAUUGUAAAGCACUUUAAGUUGGGAGGGAGGGCAGUAAGUUAAUACCUUGCUGUUUUGACGUUACCAACAGAAUAAGCACCGGCUAACUUCGUGCCAGCCGCCGCCGUAAAAC
rnacentral:rRNA from 1 species